AGCAGUGGAGAACAGGGACUGGGCCUGAUUGAUGGCACUCGCUCCAAGGCAGCCCUUUGUUCUUCUCCAG
ensembl:miRNA Mir6991 microRNA 6991